rnacentral:lncRNA from 1 species
UGUGAAUCCCCAUUAUGUACAGAGUGUUUAAUGAGUAAUGAUGUUAAUGACCAUGAUUAUCUAAGCUGAUAUGUAUGAUGAUGAUACCCCAUUGGAGUAUUUGAUGAGGACUCCAGUGUGGGGUUUAUGUAUGAUUUUAUGCAUGCACAGGUUUUGCUUGGAUAAGAGAAAAGAAAAAUUUUUACAGAUCAUGUAUAUGUUGUUAUGUAUGGGAUUCCACAGGUUUACAGGAGGUAUGUAGGCUUGCUACGGGUCCCGGCGGCCUUAAGCCGAU